ACCAAGAUGAAGGCGGUGCAGCGCUUCCUCGACGACGGUGACCGUGUCAAGGUGACGAUGCGCUUCCGCGGCCGCGAAAUGGCGCACCAGGAUCUGGGCAUGCAGCUGCUGAUCAAGGUCAAGGAACAGACCGAGGCCAUUGCCAAGGUCGAAAGCCAGCCGCGCUCGGAAGGGCGCCAGAUGGUCAUGGUGCUGGCGCCCAAGUGAGGCGACGGCAAUAUCCAAGUUAAGAAAAAACGGGCCGAAAGGCCCGUUUUGUUUUGGCGGCGGCUUCUGCUCGAGCGGGCAGA
rnacentral:misc_RNA from 1 species